GACAUCCAAACAGUAGAGUAAAAAUUUAUCGUAUGGCAAGCUGAGUGUAACUGGUUAGGUUACUUCUAGCGGAACCUUGAUGCUGAUACUUAUAUUUUUUUUUCUCAAUUCUCAAUUUAUUUGUUUAUUUGAGAAGUUAACUGUGGUAUUGUUUUUUGAUUUAAUUUUAGAAUUUAACGUGUGUAAUUUUUUUCACUAGGAGGUGUGUAUGGUGAUUUUGUUUUGUACUCUGUUUCGUAUAAAAAAGAAAAACUGAUGUUAAGAGAGGGUAUUUGUGUCGGGCGGUCAAAUUUCACAAAGCCACCGGAAUGGCGCAUUAACCAUGUGCGGUGCAACAGAUGGAUGGACUACAUUCCUUUUGAUAUACUCCGUGUAUAGUUCCAGCUGCCAGUGCUCCUGAUCC
rnacentral:lncRNA from 1 species